rnacentral:rRNA from 1 species
AACGAACGCUGGCGGCGUGCCUAAGACAUGCAAGUCGUGCGGAAAGGCUCCUUCGGGAGUACUCGAGCGGCGCACGGGUGAGUAACACGUGGGUAAUCUACCUGAGGGUCUGGGAUAACUCCGGGAAACUGGGGCUAAUACCAGAUGAGACCACGGCGUCUUCGGACGCAGCGGUCAAAGAUGGCCUCUCCUUGGAAGCUAUCGCCCGCAGAUGAGCCCGCGUCCCAUUAGCUAGUUGGCGGGGUAACGGCCCACCAAGGCGACGAUGGGUAGCUGGUCUGAGAGGAUGAUCAGCCACACUGGAACUGAGACACGGUCCAGACUCCUACGGGAGGCAGCAGUCGGGAAUUUUGGGCAAUGGGCGAAAGCCUGACCCAGCAACGCCGCGUGAGGGAUGAAGGCC